GCGCCAGUAGCUCAACUGGAUAGAGUACUUGUCUACGGAACAAGAGGUUACGGGUUCAAUUCCUGUCUGGCGCGCCA
rnacentral:tRNA from 1 species